UUUGCAGUCAAUUGUUUGAAGAAGAUGAGAAUAAAUUAUUGACGGGUUGGGAAGAUGAUAUUGCAGAUGUUGCUAAGAAGAUAGUCGAAGAGCAAAGCCCAAAACAGUUGUAUAGUUCGUGGAAAACUUAAAAAGCUUAUUGAAUAUGAUGUCUCCCCCAAUUUCAUUUUUAGGACUCUAGUAGAUGAAUUAAAGAAGUUUUUGGAUGAAGAAUUACAACGUCGAAUUGAGGGUUUCUAUGCUGAUUAUAAUAAAAUGGAGGAAAAAUCAUUUGUUAGUGAAAAAGGCAGUGGGGAAGAGGCGGUGGCCAAAGGGCAGCAUGAUCCUAUGAGAAAGAAUGUUAACCACUUUUUGAAGAUUGAAGAAUUCAUAGCGAAGUUCAUGAGCUGCUAUAAGGGAGAAGCAAAUGCCAUGAAAAUAAAUAAAUAAAUAAUCUCAAUAUUUGAAAGGUUGGUUUUCGGGAAAAACUCACUUUUGAAUUUUCCCCUUGGUAUAUCAGAUUCUUGCUUAAUAUAUAUUUAUACACAAACUUAUAUAUAUAUAUAUAAAAUAUAUUAUUACUUGUCAUGUAAUAUUUACUAGAAUUUUUUUUCAA